GGAGUGACGCAAUGGGUAGCGUAGUAGCCUUCCAAGCUGCAAGUUGCAAGUUCAAAUCUCGCCUUUGCCA
rnacentral:tRNA from 1 species